GAAAGGGCACAGGGGAGAGAUGAUGGUGGCCUGAACUUGCUAGAGCAGAGGAACUGGGCGUGGAGAAGUCGGCGUAUCCAAGGGAGAUUUGUGAUGGAUUCGAUGUGGAUGGGUAAAGCGUGCAGGAGGUGAGAAUGACGUGCAAGUCUCUGCUUGGGCAUCUGGAUGGAUGGCGGUGCCAUGCCCACACAGGGGAUACAAGGGAGGAAUACAGGCUUCCCGCCUCCCUGUUCCCCUGGCAUAGCCUGGCCAAGCUCGGCCCCCGUCAGUGUUUACUGUCUCUCCCAGAGAGAGAUGGGGUACCAGAGGCAGACGGACAGCAACGACUCGGGCCCGCGCGCAGGUCCACCGCAGGUCCUCCAAGAGCGCGGAGAUCGACCCCGGCCGGCCCAUCAGGCUUUAAAGCCCCUACGGCAUAUGCCCCGGGAGGGAGGCUCUGCUCUUAGUCGGCUAGCUUCCCGGGGAGGCUCGGGGUCCGAGACCCCUACCCAGGCCGCUCUUGCCUUCCAACCCUAGCCAGAAGCCCCGAGACCCUCCGAAGGAACGCCAGGAUCCCGCCCCUCUGCAGACUCCUGAAUGCCGCCCCACGGACCUUCUCCUCCAAGCAGGCAAUGAACUUGUCUUGGCUUAAAUCAUCCAACCAUGAGAAGCCACACCAGAACCUCAAAGAGGGUCCUACAGAGUACACAGAGAACCUGGACUCUAUGUGGUAGGCAGGAGCUGGCUGAGACUCCUGCCUAGGAUUACCUCCUGUAUGGAGUGAGUGCCCCACCCCCCCACCCCCCAGGUUAAAUAUGUAUGUGGGAAAGAGAGGGUGUGCAUAGGUUUUAAGUAACCCAAGAGAUACACCAGGCCAACACUGGUUAGAGUGGGUGGUAGCCCAGUUUCCAUUUUGAACACCCUUCUCUCUUGUCUAUCUCUACAAUAAAGGCUAAAAUACAUUAAACACUCACUUCCCCAUCUUUUUUUGCAGUUAGAUGACCAGGGAACACAGUUCUUGGCAAUGAGACAUAAGGGGAACUUGGGAAAUCUUUUGCUUUUCUAAUAAAAGAGACAAGUGCAGACCUCUCCCCUUCCUCCAGUUGUGAAUGGGGAUGUACAGCCUCAACCAUGGAGGGAAGUGGGAGAGGAUUUAGAAAGACUACCCCAAUGCUGUGGGGCCACUGAACCAACACCAACAGCUGCUUACUUCCAGAUAUCCUCUUAUGAGCAGAGGACUCCUAUUUGUUUAAGCCGCUCUAAGACAGUUAUUUGCAGUCCAAAGCAUUCCCAAGUGACACAGAGGCCAAGUAAGAUGUGGACUCAGAUGGGAAUUGGAUUUGUCUAUGUGAGGUCACUGCGGGCUCAGAGACCGGUUUAUGUGGAAUUCUGGACAGCAGCCAAUGUACAGUGGGUGGUGAGUGCCUGGCAGGUAAGACUGCGUACAGCAAGUGUGGGCAAGCCUUUCAAGUUUGCCUGUGAGGGAAAGGAAAGUAACUGGAGGAGGACACAGGAUCCAGAAGGGUUAUCUUUAAGGUGGAGGACCUUGUGCAUGUCGAAAUCAUUUUGAGAAGGAGCCCAGCAAAGACAAUAUUGAAAAGAGCAGAGUGGAAAAAACUGAAAGAAUAAGGUUAUUGAGGAGGCAGGAGAGAAUGGAUAUAAAGCUCAGAUGAAUGUGAGCCUGAAAUUUGGGCAUGCCGAAUUGCUUUUGUUGUGUCCAACUCUUGGUGACUUCAUGGACUAUAGCCCACCAGGCUCCUCUGUCCAUUGGAUUCUCCAGGCAAGAAUACUGGAAUGAGUUGCCAUUUCCUCCUCCAGGGGAUCUUCCUUACCCAGGGAUUGAACCUGCAUGCAUUGCAGGCAGAUUCUUGACUGCUUGAGCCACCAGGGAAGCCCACUAGUUCUGGGAGUGCUGUGACUGGGGGAAGGGCAGGCAGCUGGGUCAAAGUUUGAAAUCAUCAUUGUGAAACUGGGACAGCAAGCUGCCUAGAAGAGAUAGAAGACUUUCCUGCCUGACUUGAAAGCUCAGUUGGAGUUAGGGAUCAUUCAUUUAGAAUGGUAGUCUGCAUAAUUAUUUAAUUACAUACAAUGGUUAAUGUACACUUUGUGAAUUUUAAUAAAAAAAUUUUUUUUGCAUUUAAGUUACACAUGGAUGUAGCUAGAAAAAAAAAUUAGAACAGAAAGUUGUCUGAUAAAAAACCAAGUUCCUCUCUCUCAAUCACCACAUCUUCCCAUCUUGCAUGCUGCUGUUUAGGAUCACACCAAGGUUGAGUGGGGGGCUGAACUGGAGAAGAGUAAGCGGAACAAGGAAGUUCUUACUUAACGGACACAGGUUGUCAAUGCUCUAGACGGUGACUGUUCUGAUAGCUUGAGUCACACAGUGAAAACAAUGUGGAAAAGAACCCAGCCAAUCUGGAUGGAACAGACAGCAUGAACAAGAAAUAAACUAUGUUGGUUCAAA